AAGCCUUAGUAAAUAUUUACUCCUUUAGAAUUGCAGUCUAAUGUCAUUAUUGACUAUAAAGCC
rnacentral:tRNA from 3 species